AACCACACCCCUUCUCCUGUUGAGGUGCUUUCCUGAUUUGCCGGCCCUGUAUUCCUAGCCUUCCCUCUGACGCUCGCCUUCGGUAUGUCCUUGUCCCUGCAUGUUCAGUGAGGAACCGUACUUCGCCGCUGACCUCGUCGUUCCUGUGAUAACCGUCUGAUAACUGUCUGAUAACUGCCUGAUCACAAAGGUGCUGCUGUUUUGUUUAAGCCUGACAAUGCGUGUGUGAUUCAGCAUGCUCGUGACUCUGCCAAACUGUUGUUGUGCAUGCUGGUCUGACAUAUAUCUGAGCUGGGUUUUCGUUUUCUUUGUUAUGUUCUU
ensembl:lncRNA